rnacentral:rRNA from 1 species
AUUGAACGCUGGCGGAAUGCUUUACACAUGCAAGUCGAACGGCAGCACGGACUUCGGUCUGGUGGCGAGUGGCGAACGGGUGAGUAAUGUAUCGGAACGUGCCCAGUCGUGGGGGAUAACGUAGUGAAAAUUACGCUAAUACCGCAUACGAUCUAUGGAUGACAGCGGGGGAUCGCAAGACCACGCGCGAUUCGAGCGGCCGAUAUCAGAUUAGGUAGUUGGUGGGGUAAAGGCCCACCAAGCCAACGAUCUGUAGCUGGUCAGAGAGGACGACCAGCCACACUGGAACUGAGACACGGUCCAGACUCCUACGGGAGGCAGCAGUGGGGAAUUUUGGACAAUGGGCGAAAGCCUGAUCCAGCCAUUCCGCGUGCAGGAUGAAGGCCCUCGGGUUGUAAACUGCUUUUGUACAGAACGAAAAGGUUUCUACUAAUACUAGGAGCUCAUGACGGUACUGUAAGAAUAAGCACCGGCUAACUACGUGCCAGCAGCCGCGGUAA